rnacentral:rRNA from 1 species
GACGAACGCUGGCGGCGUGCCUAACACAUGCAAGUCGAGCGAAUGAAGUUCCUUCGGGUCUGGAUUUAGCGGCGGACGGGUGAGUAACACGUGGGCAACCUGCCUCAUAGAGGGGAAUAGCCUCCCGAAAGGGAGAUUAAUACCGCAUAAGAUUGUAGUACCGCAUGAUACAGCAAUUAAAGGAGCAAUCCGCUAUGAGAUGGGCCCGCGGCGCAUUAGCUAGUUGGUGAGGUAAUGGCUCACCAAGGCGACGAUGCGUAGCCGACCGGAGAGGGUGAUCGGCCACAUUGGGACUGAGACACGGCCCAGACUCCUACGGGAGGCAGCAGUGGGGAAUAUUGCACGAUGGGGGAAACCCUGAUGCAGCAACGCCGCGUGAGUGAUGACGGCCUUCGGGUUGUAAAGCUCUGUCUUCAGGGACGAUAAUGACGGUACCUGAGGAGGAAGCCACGGCUAACUACGUG